AGAAUGUGGACCUAAAA
rnacentral:tRNA from 2 species